CUUCGGUUCUUUUUGUUGGUUCUAGAAUUGAUCUAAUGGUUAAGAGGGACAAACCGGGGGCAUUCGUAUCAUUACGCGAGAGGUGAAAUUCGUGGACCGUAGUGAGACGCCCAAUAGCGAAAGCAUUUGCCAAGAAUGUCUUCAUUAAUCAAGAACGAAAGUCAGAGGUUCGAAGGCGAUUAGAUACCGCCCUAGUUCUGACCGUAAACGAUGCCAUCUCGCGAUUCGGAGGGUUCAUGCCCUACCGAGGAGCUACCCGGAAACGAAAGUCUUUCGGUUCCGGGGGUAGUAUGGUUGCAAAGCUGAAACUUAAAGAAAUUGACGGAAGGGCACCACAAGGCGUGGAGCUUGCGGCUUAAUUUGACUCAACACGGGAAAACUCACCCGGUCCGGACACUAUUAGGACUGACAGAUUGAAAGCUCUUUCUCGAUUUGGUGGUUGGUGGUGCAUGGCCGUUCUUAGUUGGUGGAGUGAUUUGUCUGGUUUAUUCCGAUAACGAGCGAGACUCUAGCCUGCUAAAUAGUCGACGAAUCUUCGGGUUCGUAUAACUUCUUAGAGGGAUAAGCGGUGUUUAGCCGCACGAGAUUGAGCGAUAACAGGUCUGUGAUGCCCUUAGAUGUCCGGGGCUGCACGCGUGCUACACUGGUGGAGUCAGCGGGUUUUUCCUAUGCCGAAAGGUAUCGGUAAACCGUUGAACUUCUUCCAUGUCCGGGAUAGGGUAUUGUAAUUAUUACCCUUAAACGAGGAAUGCCUAGUAAGUGUGAGUCAUCAGCUCACGUUGAUUACGUCCCUGCCCUUUGUACACACCGCCCGUCGCUAUCCGGGACUGAACUGAUUCGAGAAGAGUGGGGACUGUGGCUGCGAGGUUUUACCACUUCGCAGUUGCGGAAACCAUUUUUAUCGCAUUGGUUUGAACCGGGUAAAAGUCGUAACAAGGUAGCUGUAGGUGAACCUGCAGCUG
rnacentral:rRNA from 1 species